ACGAACGCUGGCGGCGUGCUUAACACAUGCAAGUCGAACGAUGAAGCCUAGCUUGCUGGGUGGAUUAGUGGCGAACGGGUGAGUAACACGUGAGUAACCUGCCCCUUACUCUGGGAUAAGCGCUGGAAACGGUGUCUAAUACUGGAUAUGACCUUGAAUCGCAUGGUUUUUGGUGGAAAGAUUUUAUCGGUUUGGGAUGGACUCGCGGCCUAUCAGCUUGAUGGUGAGGUAGUGGCUCACCAUGGCGACGACGGGUAGCCGGCCUGAGAGGGUGACCGGCCACACUGGGACUGAGACACGGCCCAGACUCCUACGGGAGGCAGCAGUGGGGAAUAUUGCACAAUGGGCGCAAGCCUGAUGCAGCAACGCCGCGUGAGGGAUGACGGCCUUCGGGUUGUAAACCUCUUUUAGUAGGGAAGAAGCGUAAGU
rnacentral:rRNA from 1 species